rnacentral:rRNA from 1 species
UACGAAGGGGGCUAGCGUUGUUCGGAAUCACUGGGCGUAAAGCGCACGUAGGCGGAUUGUUAAGUCAGGGGUGAAAUCCCGAGGCUCAACUCCAGAACUGCCUUUGAUACUGAAGAUCUUGAGUCCGGGAGAGGUGAGUGGAACUGCGAGUGUAGAGGUGAAAUUCGUAGAUAUUCGGAGGAACACCAGUGGCGAAGGCGGCUCACUGGUCCGGUACUGACGCUGAGGUGCGAAAGCGUGGGGAGCAAACAGG